AGUAUAUAUAUUUAUAUUUGGCCUGAAUUUGUGGGAGGAGUUAUGAUCCUAUAUAAACCCUACCCCCCUACUUACCUUUGUCGUGCAAGCUGUUUGUCGUCUCCAUAGUUACCUGCACUUCCGGUUCGUCGUUCCCGCCAAGUCCUGUCUCAAGCUGUCUCCAGCAAGCAGUCCGUCGCCAGCAGCUCCUGCCUACGUCUUCCGUGCCCGUCCACCGGCUUCUACCCGACAUCCG
rnacentral:lncRNA from 1 species